rnacentral:rRNA from 1 species
GAUGAACGCUGGCGGCGUGCCUAAUACAUGCAAGUCGAGCGAACGGACGAGAAGCUUGCUUCUCUGAUGUUAGCGGCGGACGGGUGAGUAACACGUGGAUAACCUACCUAUAAGACUGGGAUAACUUCGGGAAACCGGAGCUAAUACCGGAUAAUAUUUUGAACCGCAUGGUUCAAAAGUGAAAGACGGUCUUGCAGUCACUUAUAGAUGGAUCCGCGCUGCAUUAGCUAGUUGGUAAGGUAACGGCUUACCAAGGCAACGAUGCAUAGCCGACCUGAGAGGGUGAUCGGCCACACUGGAACUGAGACACGGUCCAGACUCCUACGGGAGGCAGCAGUAGGGAAUCUUCCGCAAUGGGCGAAAGCCUGACGGAGCAACGCCGCGUGAGUGAUGAAGGUCUUCGGAUCGUAAAACUCUGUUAUUAGGGAAGAACAUAUGUGUAAGUAACUGUGCACAUCUUGACGGUACCUAAUCAGAAAGCCACGGCUAACUACGUGCCAGCAGCCGCGGUAAUACGUAGGUGGCAAGCGUUAUCCGGAAUUAUUGGGCGUAAAGCGCGCGUAGGCGGUUUUUUAAGUCUGAUGUGAAAGCCCACGGCUCAACCGUGGAGGGUCAUUGGAAACUGGAAAACUUGAGUGCAGAAGAGGAAAGUGGAAUUCCAUGUGUAGCGGUGAAAUGCGCAGAGAUAUGGAGGAACACCAGUGGCGAAGGCGACUUUCUGGUCUGUAACUGACGCUGAUGUGCGAAAGCGUGGGGAUCAAACAGGAUUAGAUACCCUGGUAGUCCACGCCGUAAACGAUGAGUGCUAAGUGUUAGGGGGUUUCCGCCCCUUAGUGCUGCAGCUAACGCAUUAAGCACUCCGCCUGGGGAGUACGACCGCAAGGUUGAAACUCAAAGGAAUUGACGGGGACCCGCACAAGCGGUGGAGCAUGUGGUUUAAUUCGAAGCAACGCGAAGAACCUUACCAAAUCUUGACAUCCUUUGACAACUCUAGAGAUAGAGCUUUCCCCUUCGGGGGACAAAGUGACAGGUGGUGCAUGGUUGUCGUCAGCUCGUGUCGUGAGAUGUUGGGUUAAGUCCCGCAACGAGCGCAACCCUUAAGCUUAGUUGCCAUCAUUAAGUUGGGCACUCUAAGUUGACUGCCGGUGACAAACCGGAGGAAGGUGGGGAUGACGUCAAAUCAUCAUGCCCCUUAUGAUUUGGGCUACACACGUGCUACAAUGGACAAUACAAAGGGCAGCGAAACCGCGAGGUCAAGCAAAUCCCAUAAAGUUGUUCUCAGUUCGGAUUGUAGUCUGCAACCCGACUACAUGAAGCUGGAAUCGCUAGUAAUCGUAGAUCAGCAUGCUACGGUGAAUACGUUCCCGGGUCU